UAGCAUAUCAAUAAGCGGAGGAAAAGAAACCAACAGGGAUUGCUCUAGUAACGGCGAGUGAAGCAGCAAUAGCUCAAAUUUGAAAUCUGGCGUCUUCGACGUCCGAGUUGUAAUUUGUAGAGGAUGCUUCUGAGUGGCCACCGACCUAAGUUCCUUGGAACAGGACGUCAUAGAGGGUGAGAAUCCCGUAUGCGGUCGGAAAGGCGCUCUAUACGUAGCUCCUUCGACGAGUCGAGUUGUUUGGGAAUGCAGCUCUAAAUGGGAGGUAAAUUUCUUCUAAAGCUAAAUAUUGGCCAGAGACCGAUAGCGCACAAGUAGAGUGAUCGAAAGAUGAAAAGCACUUUGGAAAGAGAGUUAAAAAGCACGUGAAAUUGUUAAAAGGGAAGGGAUUGCAACCAGACUUGCUCGCGGUGUUCCGCCGGUCUUCUGACCGGUCUACUCGCCGCGUUGCAGGCCAGCAUCGUCUGGUGCCGCUGGAUAAGACUUGAGGAAUGUAGCUCCCUCGGGAGUGUUAUAGCCUCUUGUGAUGCAGCGAGCGCCGGGCGAGGUCCGCGCUUCGGCUAGGAUGCUGGCGUAAUGGUCGUAAUCCGCCCGUCUUGAAACACGGACCAAGGAGUCUAACAUCUAUGCGAGUGUUCGGGUGUCAAACCCCUACGCGUAAUGAAAGUGAACGGAGGUGAGAACCGCAAGGUGCAUCAUCGACCGAUCCUGAUGUCUUCGGAUGGAUUUGAGUAAGAGCAUAGCUGUUGGGACCCGAAAGAUGGUGAACUAUGCCUGAAUAGGGUGAAGCCAGAGGAAACUCUGGUGGAGGCUCGCAGCGGUUCUGACGUGCAAAUCGAUCGUCAAAUUUGGGUAUAGGGGCGAAAGACUAAUCGAACCAUCUAGUAGCUGGUUCCUGCCGAAG
rnacentral:rRNA from 1 species